rnacentral:misc_RNA from 1 species
GUUGAAGAACGUAGCGAAAUGCGAUACUUGGUGUGAAUUGCAGAAUCCCGUGAACCAUCGAGUCUUUGAACGCAAGUUGCGCCCGAAGCCAUUAGGCCGAGGGCACGCCUGCCUGGGCGUCACACGUCGUUGCCCCCCCAUCUACUCCUUCGGGAUUGCGGGGGGCGGAUGAUGGCCUCCCGUGCGCCUCGUCGCGCGGUUGGCCUAAAUGCCAAGUCCUCGGCGACGCACGCCACGACAAUCGGUGGUUGCGAAACCUCGGUUGCCCGUCGUGUGCGGUCGUCGCGCAUCGAGGGCUCGAAAAAAUUGCCGGGCUUCGGCUCGACUUUCAACGCGACCCCAGGUCAGGCGGGGUUACCCGCUGAAUUUAAGCAUAUCAAUAAGCGGAGGA